rnacentral:rRNA from 1 species
UUGGAGGGCAAGUCUGGUGCCAGCAGCCGCGGUAAUUCCAGCUCCAAUAGCGUAUAUUAAAGUUGUUGCAGUUAAAAAGCUCGUAGUUGAAUUUCGGGAUCAAUAUGCCGGUCAUGCCUUGGUAUGCACUGGUAUCUUUGAUUUCUCCCUUCUGACGAACUUUGAUGUCAUUAAUUUGGUGUCAUAGGGAAUCAGGACUGUUACUUUGAAAAAAUUAGAGUGUUUAAAGCAGGCUCACGCUUGAAUACAUUAGCAUGGAAUAAUGAAAUAGGACGUUUGAUUCUAUUUUGUUGGUUUCUAGGAUCGACGUAAUGAUUAAUAGGGAUAGUUGGGGGCAUUAGUAUUCAAUUGUCAGAGGUGUAAUUCUUGGAUUUAUUGAAGACUAACUACUGCGAAAGCAUUUGCCAAGGAUGUUUUCAUUAAUCAAGAACGAAAGUUAGGGGAUCGAAGACGAUCAGAUACCGUCGUAGUCUUAACCAUAAACUAUGCCGACUAGGGAUCGGAUGAUGUUAAUUUUUUAAUGACUCAUUCGGCGCCUUACGGGAAACCAAAGUGUUUGGGUUC